AACGAACGCUGGCGGCAGGCUUAACACAUGCAAGUCGAGCGACCCGCGAGGGGAGCGGCAGACGGGUGAGUAACGCGUGGGAAUCUACCCAUCUCUACGGAAUAACGCAUGGAAGCGUGUGCUAAUACCGUAUACGUCCUUCGGGAGAAAGAUUUAUCGGAGAUGGAUGAGCCCGCGUUGGAUUAGCUAGUUGGUGGGGUAAAGGCCUACCAAGGCGACGAUCCAUAGCUGGUCUGAGAGGAUGAUCAGCCACACUGGGACUGAGACACGGCCCAGACUCCUACGGGAGGCAGCAGUGGGGAAUAUUGGACAAUGGGCGCAAGCCUGAUCCAGCCAUGCCGCGUGAGUGAUGAAGGCCCUAGGGUUGUAAAGCUCUUUCACCGGUGAAGAUAAUGACGGUAACCGGAGAAGAAGCCCCGGCUAACUUCGUGCCAGCAGCCGCAGUAACAC
rnacentral:rRNA from 1 species